AUGAGCAGGGUGUGCGUCACCGGAGCGGCAGGGUACAUCGCGUCCUGGCUCGUCAAGAAGCUGCUCGACAGAGGCUGCACCGUCCAUGGGACCGUACGAGACCUCGGGGAUGAGAAGAAGACGGGGCUGCUGAGGUCGCUCCCCGGCGCGGCGGAGCGGCUGGUGCUCUUCGAGGCGGACAUCUACGACGCCGCCUCCUUUGAGCCGGCGAUCCAGGGCUGCGAGUUCGUCUUCCUCGUCGCCACCCCGCUGCAGCACAACUCCGGCAGCUCCAAGUACAAGGACACCACGGAAGCGGUCGUGGACGCGACGCGCACCAUCCUGCAACAGUGCGAGCGGUCCAAGACAGUGAGACGUGUCAUCCAUACAGGUUCCGUUGUUACGGCCUCGCCGCUCCGUGAGAACGGCGACGGGUACAAGGAGUCCGUGAACGAAUCCUGCUGGACCCCGCUAGGCCUGUCCUACAGCCACAGCAACGAUGGCUUCUUGGAUGCUUAUGUCUCCUCCAAGACCGUAUCUGAGGAGGAGUUACUCAAGUACAAUGACGACUUCUCCAAAGCCAGAGCAUUCGACGUUGUUGUCCUGUUAUGCGGCCUCGUAGGAGGAGACAUUCUACUGCCGCACAUCAGUGGAAGCAUCCAUGUCAUGUUGUCACCACUCACUGGCGUCAAGCUCCACCACAAGUCCCUCAAGUCCCUACAGACCCUUCUUGGCUCUAUACCACUAGUGCACAUUGACGACAUCUGUGAGGCGCAUAUCUUUUGCAUGGAGAGGUCGCUUGAUGUUGCUGGUGGCCGAUACCUUUGCACCACCGCACACACCAACAUGCAGGACGUUUUGGAGCACUACGCUGGCAAACACCCUGAACUCGAGAUAGUGGACAAAGAGGUGGUGGGAGAGGGAGUGAGGGUGCAUGUUAACACAAACAAGCUCGUGGAACUGGGGUUUAAGUAUAAGUAUGGAGCAAAGGAGGUGCUUGAUGGCAGCGUGGAUUGCGGUGAGAGGUUGGGGGUGCUAUGA
rnacentral:rRNA from 1 species